rnacentral:lncRNA from 1 species
AACCUCUGCUCCUUGCGGCUUAGACAGACAUGGGAAAGCAGAAGUGAAAAUGACCUACGAGAAAACAGCAGAUUAUCUUAGGGCGUUGGAGCAGUGAAGGAUUUCUUAACAAGAUUCAGGAAGCAACCCAUUAAAAAAGGGCAGAUAUAACUACAUUAGAAUUGAUAAUUUCAUUUUGCUCAAAGAUGCCAGGAACAGAGCAAAAGGUAAACUGCAGAUGGCAGGAAAGAGCUUGCAAGUCAUUCAACAAAUAAAGGGUUUGUUUAUAGCACAUGCGAAGCCUACAAACGAAUGAGAGAAAGACGAACAGCAAGAGAAAACAGGCGAAGGACAUGAAUGGGCAAUUCACUGGUGGGAAGUGUCCAUACCCAAUAAACAGCGAGUCAGGGAUUUGCCCAGCCCAGCGUCGGAAGAACCGCAGGUGCUCUGAAACUGGCUGCAGCAUCGCCGCCCUCUCCCCUACAGCAGUUAGAGGAUCCUGUCGAGAUGGAAAUCCAGCAACAGCCCUGCCUUAAAAACCUGCUGAUGUGUUUCCAUUGAAUUCAAAAUCCAAAUGCUACAGAUUUGAAAAGAUCUCCGGAGAACAGAGGCUCACUCUCUGCUAGACCCUCUGCACUCACUCAGCCGUUUUGUACGCUGUCCCUUCAACCAGGAACCCGUUUGUGUGGUCAGAGUGUUAAACCAUCAUCCUUUCAAGAUGUGCAGACUGCUGUACUGAGAAGCGCUGUAAGGUUCAGAGCUGGACCAGGUGUAGGUCAAGGUCGAGCAUCUAUUCAACCUACAGCAGGUCUUGAAAGGGCCUUUGUAAUAUCUCGUCUCACCUGGGGGCAGCGCUGCCGUGUGAACUGAGUACAUCAGCACAUCCUCACUGGGGAACCGAAUGGCCAUGAAUUUAGAACAUUUGGUGAGAAGACCUGGCCCCUGGAUCGGAAGGUCUGCUGGGGCAUCGGGUCCCCCACAGACCAUGUGAUGGUGUGACAAUGAGAAAGUCACUUGAUAACCCCAGUGGAGGUCACACCUCCCUCCCCAGCUCUCUGGCAUCACAAAGUACCCUAAGAUGUUGGAGAAACACACUGGGCAGAGCUGUGCCCCUCAAAACCCCCAGGCCGAAGCCCUGAUCCCCAAGACCUCAGAACGUGGCUGUAUUUGAGGACAGGCUCUCCGAGGGAGAUUCACGCACGGCGAGGCCGGCAGGGUGGGCCCGAAGGCAUCCUGACUGGUAUCCUCUAAGAAGAUAUUUGGACACACCCCAAAAUGCCAGGGAUGCCCCCGAGGAGGGACCGCAUGAGGACACGGGGAGAAGUUGGCUGUCUGCGCCCAGGAGAGAGGACCCAGGAGGAGCCCAUGUGGGAGUUCCUGUUGUGGCUCAGCAGUUAUGAACCCACCUAGUAUCUGUGAGGACAAGGGUUCGAUCCCUGGCCUCGCUCAGUGGGUUAAGGAUCUGGCGUUGCCAUGAGCUUCAGUGUAGUUUGCAGACGUGGCUCGGAUCUGGCGUGGCUGUGGCCGUGGUGUAGGCCGGCAGCUGCAGCUCCGACUUGCCCCCUAACCUGGGAACUUCUAUUUGCCGCAAGUAUGGCCCUAAGAAGCAAAAAGGAAAAAAAAGAAGGAAGCUAUGUGGCCCUUGACCUUGGGCUUCCAGUCUCCAGGUUGGGAGAAAUGAAUUUCUGCUGUUUCAGGCACCUCAUCAGGGGUUUACUGUAGUCUGAGCAAACUUAACCCAAGUCAAGAAAGAAACAAAACCAGAAAUAACGACACUGACGCAUCCCUUUAUUGAGGGGGCUGCUGUCCUCGAAGAAGGAGGGGCUGGAGACGAGAGCUCUGCUCCUGCUCGGUCUCCGGCUCGCCUGGUGGCAGUGAGCCACGGGCCCCUCUCUGCCUCAGCUGCGAUCUCGAGGGUGGAUCAAGGGCCUCCUUCUCGGAUUCCAACCCCGUCCUGCUCUCCAGUCGACUUGACGACGUCAGGGAGAGAGGCUGGGCUUUUGUCUGUUCUGAGAAGAGCGCCCGCCCGGUGGGCAGGUACAAAGGAGAGGCUUCCGCCCGACUCACUCUGCAGCCGCCCCGAGAAGGGCUGUUUCAGAGCCAACUCCAGCCACCGCCACGUCGGUGCCUCGGGACAGGACGUGUUUCUCAGGCAAGAUCACGACCUUCCCCGGCCAGCCGCUCUUGAGAAAUGGGACAGUCUCGCCUGGGAACCUGAGUAUCUCUUUCCAGGCUGCUCAUCUCAAUGUGCAGAGCUCAUCCACAGCCAGAACCCGUGUGGAUGAGAAACCACGAAGCCGCGUUGACAGCUGAUGAAAGAAAGGUUUUGUCCUCUCCCGGAAAUGCCGCUGGGCCAGGUCCCUUGCGGCUACAGGGCCAGUUGGGACCAGACUCCCCGGUGGGAAGGCGGGGCUGGCUCCCAGGGUGCCUCCCUUCGCUCUGAGCCAGGGCUGACUCUGUUCUGAUAAACCGGAACGCCAAGGCAUUG